rnacentral:rRNA from 1 species
GAGAAUCUACCUUCUGGUCGGGGACAACCACUGGAAACGGUGGCUAAUACCGGAUAUGCCGCAACGUGAAAGAUUUAUCGCCAGAAGAGGAGCUCGCGUCUGAUUAGCUAGUUGGUAGGGUAAAAGCCUACCAAGGCAUCGAUCAGUAGCUGGUCUGAGAGGACGAUCAGCCACACUGGGACUGAGACACGGCCCAGACUCCUACGGGAGGCAGCAGUGGGGAAUUUUCCGCAAUGGGCGAAAGCCUGACGGAGCAAGACCGCGUGAGGGAAGAAGGCUCUUGGGUCGUAAACCUCUUUUGUUAGGGAAGAACACAAUGACGGUACCUAACGAAUCAGCCUCGGCUAACUCCGUGCCAGCAGCCGCGGUAAUACGGAGGAGGCAAGCGUUAUCCGGAAUUAUUGGGCGUAAAGCGUCCGCAGGUGGCGAUUCAAGUCUGCGGUCAAAGACUGGGGCUUAACCCUGGAAAGGCCGUGGAAACUGAAGAGCUAGAGUGCAGUAGGGGUAGAGGGAAUUCCCGGUGUAGCGGUGAAAUGCGUAGAGCUCGGGAAGAACAUCGGUGGCGAAAGCGCUCUGCUGGACUGCAACUGACACUCAGGGACGAAAGCUAGGGGAGCGAAUGGGAUUAGAUACCCCAGUAGUCCUAGCCGUAAACGAUGGAUACUAGGUGUGGCUUGUAUCGACCC